AUCGUGGAGUCCAUAAGAGUACUUUACACACUUUCCUCCAUUGGAUAUAAAUAGCGCAUGCGCAAUCGGAACUUCCUACUCGAAGAUGGAAAUAAUUGUUUACAUGACUGAUGUGCCUUAUGAUGUAGAUGUUGGAUAUUGUGCUUUUCCAGAGAAAUGGCCCAAAAUGGAAAGCAUCUGCAGACAAUGACUGAUAUGUUUUUUGAUGCAGAUGUUUAAAAUGAUGCUUUUGAAGGAAAAAUAUCCAAGCUAAAUGAGGUUUCCUGAGAAAAGUG